CCGGGCGGAUAAUAUCCAUCUCGAGUUUGAUCGUAUUCAGGCCCCAUAAUUUCAAGAGGACAUGGUGGAUUUUGUAACUCAUAACGUCUACACAAUUCAAAUACAGCCUGUUCCUUUUCCUUAGCUUCUAUCAUUAGAUCCAUUGUAGGAUCACACGGUGGAAAGUCAAACACCCUAUCAGAGUGAGCACGUCGUUUCAUCCCAGAAAUCGCCGUUGGAUCAGCCGAUUCUGAGUAAUGUUGCUUCUGUGUAAUUCCCUUUCUUGUCCAGGUUUCUCGAAUAGUUGGGAUUAAUGGCAUUAAAUCUAAACUUCCUUCACGAAGCGUUCCUGGCACUAUGUUGUGAUGAUGCCAAUCCAAAACUAGAGGAAUAUUAAGUUCUUGGCAUAAAGGUAAUAAAUCUUGAACUGACCAAGAAACAUCAUCGUUUUCUAAAACUAAACGAGCUUUAACCGAAUCAGACAAGCGUUGAUAAUUUUUACGAAACCUAUCCAAUGUUUCUUUUUUUCCUUCAAAGGUACCACCAAGGUGAAUAAUUAAAACAGCGUCUUUAUUUAAUUGUUCAUUCAACUUCAUACGACUGAGAAUUUCAUCAUGAUAAGCCAAAUCACGUAUUGCCGAAUCAACUACGACUUCUCGUGGAGAGGCUAUCUGGGUGUACUGACCAGGAUGCAUAGUCAAUCGAUGAUUAUAUUUAUUUGCCAGCUUGCCCACCUCCUCGAGAUGAGAUUGUGCAAAUUCAAGGGUAUAUCCAUACUUUGCAUGGCUUGCGAAAGGAAAUAAAUCAGAACUCACUCUCAUGAAGUGAAUGCCAAAGUUGUGAUUCCACUCAACCAAUUUGAUUAAAUCUAAAACAUUUUGCGUACCUAGCUGCUUGACACUUUCGAGCCCAUCACGUUGAAUGGUUGUAAUUCGGCAGGUGCGUGAACAAAAAACCCUCUCCUUCAUUGACCUUAAAAUAGUAUUCAAACAAGCAUACCCCAAUCGUCCUCGCCAGGGUAUGGGUUUGUCCAAACAAUCAAACAUCUCUCGUGGAGCAUGAUCAUCAAGAUUCAUUGUAGAUUCUUUUUCUAAAUUUUUUGCAGAAGAACGAGACCGUCUUCGUUUAGAAAUUGGAGUUUCCAACUGUUCCGGCACAACCGGUUCGAACUCGUCAGAGCUACUUUCAUUUUUAAGAGACUUUUCGUCGACUUCUUCAACAUACUCCUCUUCCUCUUUUUGUUUAACUUUUUUAGUAGCUUUACUAAUUUGCUCCUCCGAUUCGGAUUCUGACGAGGAAUUGUAGUUGACCGGUUUUUUUGAUCUCGACGAUCGCCUAAGAUGAGUUGAAGAAUCAUAGGACGCAACAGACUCAUCAAUUUUAUCGGAAACAGAAUCUGUCGCUUUCUUUUUACUGCUACGUGCCCUCUUUCGUGUAGACGUAGAAGUACUUUUUUUGUGAGGUCCACUGAUAUUAGCUAACUCAGUCUCAUUUUCUUUUUUUAAGUCGACUGGUGUUUCGGCAGAGAAUGAAUUCGCACCGAUAUUAACUUGCGGUAACAUUGAGAGUGUGGUUUUUGAGCUCAUUGGAAGUAAACUUUUAAGGGUAUCGGGUAAACAAUGAAAACGAGAGUAAGUAAUGGUACAAACCGACGGUACACAAGGAUGAUUACCUUUAAAUGCCUUUUGUUUUA